CCUACGGGAGGCAGCAGUGAGGAAUAUUGGACAAUGGGCGCAAGCCUGAUCCAGCCAUGCCGCGUGCAGGAAGAAGCAUCUAUGGUGUGUAAACUGCUUUUGUACAGGAAGAAACACUCCCUCGUGAGGGAGCUUGACGGUACUGUAAGAAUAAGGACCGGCUAACUCCGUGCCAGCAGCCGCGGUAAUAUGGAGGGUCCGAGCGUUAUCCGGAAUCAUUGGGUUUAAAAGGGUCCGUAGGCGGUUUAAUAAGUCAGUGGUGAAAUCUGGUCGCUCAACGAUCAAACGGCCAUUGAUACUGUUAGACUUGAAUUAUAAGGAAGUAACUAGAAUAUGUAGUGUAGCGGUGAAAUGCUUAGAUAUUACAUGGAAUACCAAUUGCGAAGGCAGGUUACUACUUAUGGAUUGACGCUGAUGGACGAAAGCGUGGGGAGCGAACAGGAUUAGAUACCCUGGUAGUCCACGCCGUAAACGAUGGAUACUAGCUGUUCGGAGCAAUNUNGUGNUAGAGAGUAGAGAGUAUCCACCGNGGAGGUAACGUUCGUCGAGAGUAGAAGUUACGAAGAGAGUUAGNGNGNGAGAGNGCGACGACGACGACGGAGGAGGAGG
rnacentral:rRNA from 1 species